UAGGACGAAAGUUUAAAGGUGCUUCGGCACCACUGAUGGAUGAGCCUGCGGCGCAUAAGCUAGUUGGUAGGGUAAAGGCCUACCAAGGCGACGAUGCGUAGCCGACCUGAGAGGGUGAACGGCCACACUGGGACUGAGACACGGCCCAGACUCCUACGGGAGGCAGCAGUAGGGAAUCUUCGGCAAUGGGCGAAAGCCUGACCGAGCAACGCCGCGUGAAUGAUGAAGGCCUUCGGGUUGUAAAAUUCUGUUAUAAGGGAAGAAUGGCUCUAGUAGGAAAUGGCUAGAGUGUGACGGUACCUUAUGAGAAAGCCACGGCUAACUACGUGCCAGCAGCCGCGGUAAUACGUAGGUGGCGAGCGUUAUCCGGAAUUAUUGGGCGUAAAGAGCGCGCAGGUGGUUGAUUAAGUCUGAUGUGAAAGCCCACGGCUUAACCGUGGAGGGUCAUUGGAAACUGGUCAACUUGAGUGCAGAAGAGGGAAGUGGAAUUCCAUGUGUAGCGGUGAAAUGCGUAGAGAUAUGGAGGAACACCAGUGGCGAAGGCGGC
rnacentral:rRNA from 1 species